AAACCAGCACCUCAAGUGGUCAGGAUGAUUAUUGGGCCUAAAGCAUCCGUAGCCGGCUCUGUAAGUUUUCGGUUAAAUCUGUACGCUCAACGUACAGGCUGCUGGGAAUACUGCAGAGCUCGGGAGUGGGAGAGGUAGACGGUACUCGGGAGGAAGUGGUAAAAUGCUUUGAUCUCUCGAUGACCACCUGUGGCGAAGGCGGUCUACCAGAACACGUCCGACGGUGAGGGAUGAAAGCUGGGGGAGCAAACCGGAUUAGAAACCCGGGUAGUCC
rnacentral:rRNA from 1 species